UAAGUAAACAAAUAAAACAGAAUAAAAUUGGAACAAUACAGAGAGUAGCAUGGCCCCUGUGUAAAGAUGACAUGCAAAUUUGUGAAGCAUUCCAUAUUUUA
rnacentral:snRNA from 1 species